rnacentral:rRNA from 1 species
UACGGAGGAUGCAAGCGUUAUCCGGAUUUAUUGGGCGUAAAGCGUCCGCAGGUGGCUAUACAAGUCUGCUGUUAAAGCGUGGGGCUUAACUCCAUACAGGCAGUGGAAACUGUAAAGCUAGAGUCUGGUAGGGGUCACGGGAAUUCCCAGUGUAGCGGUGAAAUGCGUAGAUAUUGGGAAGAACACCAGCGGCGAAAGCGGGUCUCUGGGCCGUAACUGACGCUGAGGAGCGAAAGCGUGGGGAGCGAACAGG